UUAAAACCCCGCGGGAACCCUGUAAAUACCCACAAUCCACCUCUGUGUGGUUUGACAGUCCAGCAGGACGGCGUGCUGAAGCCGUGUUUGGCAUUCGUCUCAUGCGGUCCUUUUAGCCUCCGUGAACGGGAUUAAAUGGCCGUGUAGCGGCCAGCGCCGCGGCUCCCGACGCCGCGUUAUUAAACGGAGAGGAUGUUCACUUCAUGCUGUCGGCCAGAUGAGCCUGCAUCUGCUUGGCAGUCACUCAGAAAUGUCUAGCGUUUCACACUGCGCCUCUGGGACGACUGGCUCCGGCUCAGCCAGAAGUUUAUGAAAACCAAACAGAAAUGGGGAGGGGGGCGGGGGGUGCAAGCAGAGAAGAAUGAUCUGGAUGACAGGGGAAGACGAGGAGGUUGGACAGCCCAAACGAGAUGAUGUGAUGUUUUCCACUCCUCCUGUCCGCCUCUCGUGCUGCUUUUCCUGAUGCCCCCGAGGAGCCUGAGGGGCCCCCAACGGGACCCCAUGGUCUCUACCACCAAACUGCGCCCAUGUCUGCUCGACUCAGAGAGGAUUUUUUCAUAGAUGAAGAUGGGGCGGCCCGGUUCUGCCUUCCAUCAAGCCCGGUUCUCCACAACAAAUCUGCUCCCAGGGGUCCGAUCUGCGGCUCUGUCUGUGUCACGGCGUCCAGACACACUGAGGAAAAGCACGGCGGCGUGCACGGUAUAGCUCCAGACGUUAGACACAGCCCACUGGAAGCAGCCGACCUCGUCCACCGCAGGCUGGCGCUGGGGUUAAACCCAUAAACACAAUGUUUACAGGAGGCACAAACGCUGCUGUCAGUGACAGAGUGGGCUGGGACGGCCCUUCUGAAGACAGAUUUGAUACGCCGUCAUCAAACUCAACAAUCAGCCAAAUCUGGAUGCUUCAUGGCCACUUUGAUCUCCAAAAUAAAAUGAGAUCAUAAAGUUUAGAAACACUCAGAACGACUGACCUGGAUGUCAAGAAAUAAGUCAAGACUUCUUAAAAUAAAGUUUUAAAAAAACCUUUAAAUAAGCAAAAUAAUCUGGGUUAGAGAAACUGUUUUAACAGAAAAUCUUAUUUAAAAUGUCGACAUUUUUCCUAAUUUCUUGGUGCGAGUGAUUUUUUCCUGAAUUUAUGAUUGUAGGGUAUAAAUAUUUGAUAUUCAUUCCUGAAUCAAAUGCUUAUAAUUCAUGUAGAGAAAAUGGUAUGGUCGACCCGGGGACGGAUUAUAUAAGUUCACUUCCUCCCUUUCCCUUUCAAGUUGUGAUUUAUUAUGUAAGAUGUUAUUUUAUGUAUUAUUACAUGAUUGCUUGAAAUAAACCAUUUCAUUCAUUCAUUCAUGUUAUUUUCUUUUGAAAACUUUCUUGAUAAGAUCUUUGGAAACACUUUCUUACAGUUCGUUCUUUUCAAGAGAAUCUGGACUCAGAGAAAAAAUAUGACACUUGAAAAUCAAUAGCCGGAAGUCCCUCCCCCUGCCGGAUCUGGCCGCAAAAAAAAAAAAA